GAGUCCGCUCUGGGAUGCGCGCACUUGGCGGUUCCUUCCCUGGUGGUACGGAAGGACUGCGUAGGUCGGCUUUUCAGAGCGCAGUUCCCGGUCCACGGACCACAGGGUUUUCUUCCCCCCGGCGCCCCGGUCCAGCUUUGGGGCACUCUGACCCCAGCCAGUUUUGGCGGUGGCGCCUCCGGAACACAAUGCGCAUGCGCACGCCGAGAGGCUGAGGCCCGCGGCGGAAAGAGGGCUCCGCCUGGCGACUGAGGGCGUGGGUCAGUUUGGACUCGAGGCGGGCCUGGCGGCGCUCUAUCCCUCCCCCCGCUGCUGCGGCUCGCUUCUUUAACUCGCGAGCAUCUGGCGCGCUGUUCUGGGUUUCCACGUGGGCCCGCCCACCGCCGUCUUGAAGCUGUGCCAAGGUACAAUCAACAGUGAUUAUCAUACAGCUGGAAAGAAAGGCAGAGAUAAUGCUUUUUAUUUUAGAUUGGGCAAUUAAGCAGAAACUGCAGUUUUAGUAUGAAGAACGGAGGUGGAAGAACAAGCCGAAUCAGAAGACGAAAACUCUUCACAAGUUCUGAAUCAAGAGGAGGGAAUGAGAGCUACAAGCCUGAAUUUAUAGAGCUUAAGAAGUGGCUGAAAGAUAGGAAGUUUGAAGAUACAAACUUAAUACCUGCUCGUUUUCCAGGUACAGGAAGAGGGCUGAUGAGCAAAACAUCCCUACGGGAGGGACAGAUGAUUAUCUCAUUGCCUGAGAGUUGCCUGCUCACCACGGACACAGUGCUUAGAAGCUACUUAGGGGCGUAUAUUGCUAAGUGGCAGCCUCCUCCAUCUCCUGUGCUGGCUCUUUGCACCUUUUUAGUUUCAGAAAAGCAUGCUGGGGACCGGUCUCCCUGGAAGCCUUACCUGGAGGUUUUGCCCAAGGCCUACACCUGCCCUGUUUGUUUGGAGCCAGAAGUGGUGAAUCUUCUUCCCAGACCUUUGAAAGCAAAGGCCAGAGAGCAGAGAACCCACGUGCAGGAGUUCGUUUCUUCCUCCAGAGACUUUUUCUCUUCCCUGCAGCCUCUGUUUUCGGAGGCCGUCGAGAGCAUCUUCAGCUACAGCGCCCUCCUGUGGGCUUGGUGCACUGUCAACACCAGGGCUGUGUACAUGGAGCGCGCGCCGAGGCAGUGCUUUUCCGCAGAGCCGGACACCUGCGUGCUCGCCCCGUUCCUCGAUCUGCUGAACCACAGCCCUGACGCCCAGGUAAAAGCAGCAUUUAAUGAGGAAACUCGCUGUUAUGAAAUUAGAACAGCUGUGAGCUGUGGGAAACACCAAGAGGUGCUCAUCUGCUAUGGCCCUCACGAUAACCACCGCCUGCUCCUUGAGUAUGGAUUUGUUUCCGUCCGCAAUCCUCAUGCUUGUGUUUAUGUCUCAAAAGAUAUACUCGUUAAAUAUCUUCCAUCAACAGAUAAACGGAUGAACCAAAAGAUUUCCAUUUUAGAGGAUCACGACUUUAUAGAAAAUUUGACGUUUGGAUGGGAUGGACCGUCUUGGCGGUUACUCACAGCUCUUAAGUUGUUAUGUCUGAAAGCUGAAGAAUUGACAUGCUGGAAAAAAGUACUUAUUGGGGAAAUAAUUUCAGAUACAAAUGAGAAGGCAAGUUUGGACAUAGCCCAGAAAAUAUGCCAUUAUUUCAUCAAGGAGAGUAAGGCUGUGCUUCAAAAGGUUUCUCAUAUGAAAGAUGAAGAAGUGGCUUUGAUAAACCAACUAACUUUGGUAGAAACACUGUGGACAGAAGAGCUGAAAAUUCUCCAGGCCUCUGCUGAGACCCUAACCAGUUUGCAAACAGCUUUUACGUAACUUCACCGAAGUGCAGGUGAUCACCUCCAAUGGUAUCCAUCCCACUGUCAAGAGGAUCCAGGAAGACUCACUGCUCUUCCUGACUAAUCUGUGUGAUUCUCAUGGCACCUGUCCUUACACUUCACAUGGCCACGGCGUAGAGGAAGGCUGGCUGGGAGCCUGUACUGGCCCACGGGAACCAGACUUCUUUAUCACCAGUAGACCCUCCUUCAGUACAUGAUCGCAUGUUUGGCCAAGGUUGACGGACUGGAGAGCAGGAUCCAGCGGAUCACCUACAGAAGGAGAUGGAGAAGGAGGUAAGGGCAGGAAUGUUGAGUCCAGUGAGUGAGCCUGAGAACUGUGUGGGUCAGCACCAGGGCGUGAUCUCCUGUUGCCCGCGGUAGUAUCCUCUGGGCACACUGGCUGUAUUGAAAGUAUCAAAGGUGGGCAGGCAGGAUAUAAAAUGCAGCCUAACUGUGGAGAAUCCUACGUGAUGCCGUCACAGUGUGGCCUGUUAUACCACAGUGGAAAAGAUGGUCCUAGGUUACAUGCAUCAACGUGGAUAAAUCCCAGUCUUUUCAUCCUAAGCCCAGAAACCAUUCUACAUAUUUCCAGUCGGAAGGGUUUAGUACAGGAAAUCAGGUCCUACACAAUUGUUGGAAGGGAUGGGAGGGGGCGAAAUCCAGAGAUGGGGAUGCUCCUCGGAAACCAGAACAUUGCAGGAAGCCACUAUGGCUACCACGGACACCAUCGCUGCCUGAGGAAGAGUGAAAUCCACCUUGUACCACCGUCCACCUGUCGUUGGUCAUGGAACAGAAACCCUGCUGGCAAGAGAUUUUGGGGAUUGUGGCCCUCAGGCUUCUACUUCCUGUGACAGAGCUGAGAACAAGGGGACAGGAUAGUGUUGAGUGUCCCUAGACAAGAGUAACACGAUGGCGAGUGACAAAGCAACUCCCAGAAGAUGACCUGCAACGUGGUGCCGUUUUUUUGUGGCUGCACCGUGCAGCUUGUGGGAUCUUAAUUCCCCAACCAGGGGUUGCACCUGGGCCCUUGGCAGUGAGAGCGCGGAGUCCUAACCACCGGACCGCCAGGGAAUCUCAACAUGGUACCAUUUUUAUAAAGCACAAAAUGAAACAACAUAUUGGUGGGCCAUUCACGCAAUGGUUUGCCUGAGCCGGCUUGAACUGACUUGCGAGAUCCAAUAGUUAAAUUUUCAGGAAUUCAGCAAGGCAGUUGUUAAACACAGCUGUUAUUAAAAAUUAAAUUAUAUAAGCUUACAAUAAAAUAAUUACAGCAACAGGAAUGGUAAUAAAUACUCUAACUCAUCACUUCCUAAUUAUCUUACUUAUUUUACUAUUAUCUAUGCUGUUGAGGUUAUUCUAUCUAUUGCAUCUGUAUGGUAAAAAUCCUAUAAACUGGCAUGCUACCAUGAUCUCUUUCCAAUUCAGUGUUCAGUGACAUCACCUUGGUAGCUUGAAAUGGGCCCCUAUUUAUAUGAAAGAAAUUGGCCAGUGCUACAAAUCAGGGCGUGAUUGCUUUGUUGAUUGUCUGGAUAUAACAAAAUGACGGACUAAAUGUUAAUAAUGAUUAACAGAUUAAACUUAAAUGUUUGUCAUGUCUGUGGCUGUUUCAUUGUGAAUAGCACAGAAAUUGAGGAAAUAGCCUUCCAGUAUUUGAAAACUAUUAUCCGAUUCAACAAAGAAGUUGCUCACAUAAUUGAUAAAAAAGUGAUUUUCUACCAUGUGUCUCUGUCAUUUUGCUUUCUUCUUACUUGUUUAUGUAAAUGAAAAUAUCAACCAACCUUCAUACUGAAACUACAUUGGUUCAUCUGUUGCAACCGUAGGUUGGCCACAAUUAUGAAAGUUUGGCAAAAAUAAAAAAUAUUCUGUGAGAA